rnacentral:rRNA from 1 species
AACGAACGCUGGCGGCAGGCCUAACACAUGCAAGUCGAGCGGACCUUUCGGGGUCAGCGGCGGACGGGUGAGAACGCGUGGGAAUAUGCCCUUCUCUACGGAAUAGUCCUGGGAAACUGGGGGUAAUACCGUAUACGCCCUUUGGGGGAAAGAUUUAUCGGGGAAGGAUUAGCCCGCGUUGGAUUAGGUAGUUGGUGGGGUAAUGGCCUACCAAGCCGACGAUCCAUAGCUGGUUUGAGAGGAUGAUCAGCCACACUGGGACUGAGACACGGCCCAGACUCCUACGGGAGGCAGCAGUGGGGAAUCUUAGACAAUGGGGGCAACCCUGAUCUAGCCAUGCCGCGUGAGUGAUGAAGGCCUUAGGGUUGUAAAGCUCUUUCAGCUGGGAAGAUAAUGACGGUACCAGCAGAAGAAGCCCCGGCUAACUCCGUG